UACGUAGGGGGCAAGCGUUAUCCGGAUUUACUGGGUGUAAAGGGAGCGUAGACGGCAGAGCAAGUCUGAAGUGAAAGCCCGCGGCCCAACUGCGGGACUGCUUUGGAAACUGCCCGGCUAGAGUGCUGGAGAGGUAAGCGGAAUUCCUAGUGUAGCGGUGAAAUGCGUAGAUAUUAGGAGGAACACCAGUGGCGAAGGCGGCUUACUGGACUGUAACUGACGUUGAGGCUCGAAAGCGUGGGGAGCAAACAGG
rnacentral:rRNA from 1 species